rnacentral:lncRNA from 1 species
GGAGAUCCCUCCUUUUGGAGUUUUCCAGCAAGCUCAGGACAGGGGUGAGCUCUCUAUCUAUUCUUUUUCAUGUAAUAACCUGCUUAGCCAAACUCUCUUGUGUAUUUCUUAAUUAUAACACCUGUAUAUUCAUUAAUUACACUGUCCCUUAUGCUAAAAAAGUAAAAUGAUCUAGAAGAUGAACUAAUCAGCACUGCUUAUAACAUCCAGCAGCUUGUGAAGUGCUCAGGCAUUAUUUCAACUACAGCAUGUCUGCAUUCAUUAUACUAGAGUGGGCCUAAAUCUAUCUCUACGAAGGCAGAUUAUGCAAUGCUUAGAUUAUUCUCUCUCUCAGUCCUUGGCUAACCAUCUGGGACUGCUAUAAAUCUGAGAUUGCUAUAAAUCUCUUCUGUAAUUUCCAUUAUAUCAGGCUGAGGAUUAAGGUUUUCUCUAUUGUGCUUAUGGUAAUGAAUUGCAUGUUACCAAAAUUGCCUCUUAUUGUAUCUACCAAAUGCAAGCCACUGACUGACGGAAUUUCUACUUACUGUAAUGCAGCACGGCUUCAUGCUUGAUCUGAGGUUAAGACAGAAUGAUUACAGAGUAGUAAAAUCAUCAGGAUGUUCUCCCAUUUCACUUCCUUUUGGAGUUUUCUAGUGCAAGUCUGGGAUGCAGAAAGCAGAAAUAAUACCAAAUGGUGUAUGAGACCAUUCCAUACGAACAAAAAAUACUUGAACCAAGUGCUCUGAUGGUUUCUUUGUUUCUAUAUGUGGGAAAAGCCUCUGAUGACAUCAAAACUCUCCGAAACAGAAAGUUGAGUGGAUUCAGCUUUGAUUCUAUUGAGACUUUAACUGAUUUGAAAGAAAGUCAGGAUUGA